rnacentral:rRNA from 1 species
GACGAACGCUGGCGGCGUGCUUAACACAUGCAAGUCGAACGGUGAAGCACCUUCCUUUUGGUGGGUGUGGAUGAGUGGCGAACGGGUGAGUAACACGUGAGUAACCUGCCCCCUUCUUCUGGAUAACCGCAUGAAAGUGUGGCUAAUACGGGAUAUUCUGUGCCUGCUGCAUGGUGGGUGUGGGAAAGAUGCGCUUUUGGGUGUUUUUGGUGGGGGAUGGGCUCGCGGCCUAUCAGCUUGUUGGUGGGGUGAUGGCCUACCAAGGCGGUGACGGGUAGCCGGCCGGAGAGGGUGGACGGUCACACUGGGACUGAGACACGGCCCAGACUCCUACGGGAGGCAGCAGUGGGGAAUAGGGCACAAUGGGCGCAAGCCUGAUGCAGCGACGCCGCGUGAGGGAUGGAGGCCUUCGGGGUGUAAACCUCUUUCGCCAGUGAAGCAGGCCUGUCCCUUGUGGGUGGGUUGACGGUAGCUGGAUAAGAAGCGCCGGCUAACUACGUG